rnacentral:rRNA from 1 species
GUAAAGCUCUGUUGGUAGUGAAGAAAGAUAGAGGUAGUAACUGGCCUUUAUUGACGGUAAUUACUUAGAAAGUCACGGCUAACUACGUGCCAGCAGCCGCGGUAAUACGUAGGUGGCAAGCGUUGUCCGGAUUUAUUGGGCGUAAAGCGAGUGCAGGCGGUUCAAUAAGUCUGAUGUGAAAGCCUUUGGCUCAACCGGAGAAUUGCAUCAGAAACUGUUGAACUUGAGUGCAGAAGAGGAGAGUGGAACUCCAUGUGUAGCGGUGGAAUGCGUAGAUAUAUGGAAGAACACCAGUGGCGAAGGCGGCUCUCUGGUCUGCAACUGACGCUGAGGCUCGAAAGCAUGGGUAGCGAACAGGAUUAGAUACCCUGGUAGUCCAUGCCGUAAACGAUGAGUGCUAAGUGUUGGGAGGUUUCCGCCUCUCAGUGCUGCAGCUAACGCAUUAAGCACUCCGCCUGGGGAGUACGACCGCAAGGUUGAAACUCAAAGGAAUUGACGGGGGCCCGCACAAGCGGUGGAGCAUGUGGUUUAAUUCGAAGCAACGCGAAGAACCUUACCAGGUCUUGACAUCCAGUGCAAACCUAAGAGAUUAGGUGUUCCCUUCGGGGACGCUGAGACAGGUGGUGCAUGGCUGUCGUCAGCUCGUGUCGUGAGAUGUUGGGUUAAGUCCCGCAACGAGCGCAACCCUUGUCAUUAGUUGCCAUCAUUAAGUUGGGCACUCUAAUGAGACUGCCGGUGACAAACCGGAGGAAGGUGGGGAUGACGUCAAGUCAUCAUGCCCCUUAUGACCUGGGCUACACACGUGCUACAAUGGACGGUACAACGAGAAGCGAACCUGCGAAGGCAAGCGGAUCUCUGAAAGCCGUUCUCAGUUCGGACUGUAGGCUGCAACUCGCCUACACGAAGCUGGAAUCGCUAGUAAUCGCGGAUCAGCACGCCGCGGUGAAUACGUUCCCGGGCCUUGUACACACCGCCCGUCACACCAUGAGAGUCUGUAACACCCAAAGCCGGUGGGAUAACCUUUAUAGGAGUCAGCCGUCUAAGGUAGGACAGAUGAUUAGGGUGAAGUCGUAACAAGAGCCUGCUC